CCCUUAGAUGUUCUGGGCCGCACGCGCGCUACACUGAUGCAUUCAACGAGUCUAAAACCUGCUCUGAUAGGGGUGGGUAAUCUUUUGAAUGUGCAUCGUGAUUGGGAUAGAUGAUUGCAAUUUUUCAUCUUCAACGAGGAAUGCCUAGUAAACGCAAGUCAUCAGCUUGCAUUGAUUACGUCCCUGCCCUUUGUACACACCGCCCGUCGCUCCUACCGAUUGAAUGAUCCGAUGAAUAUCAUGGAUUGAGGAUGCAAGCAGGUACGCCUGUCUUCAUCUUCGAGAAGUGAAGUAAAUCUUAUCAUUUAGAGGAAGGAGAAGUCGUAACA
rnacentral:rRNA from 1 species